AUAAAGUUUUAUUCUAGCUUAUUUAAUUAAUCUAUGAAUUUUUUUAUAUGUAAAUUUUUGUGUUGAUUAAUAUUAAUUUAAAUAGUUAAUAUUUUAUAAAUUUAUUCGCAGUAUUAAGUAUUAAAUAUUAAUAAAAAUUAGAUUUAGGAAUUCAUUUAAGAAUUGACAAAAUUUGUGCCAGCAGUUGCGGUUAUACAGAUAAUUCAAUUAAUUACUUUUAGUUAAUAAUUAAUUUGGUUUUAAUAAAUAUUGAUUAAAAUUUAUUAAGUGAAAUUUUAAAUUUUAAAAAAAUUUUUUAAAAGAUUAUGAGGUUAUUAAAUUUAAUAUUAAACUAGGAUUAGAUACCCUAUUAUUAUAAAUGUAAAAUUUUAAGCUAAAUUAGUAUUAGUUAUGAUCUUUAAAGUUAAAGAAUUUGGCGGUAUUUUAGUCUAUUUAGAGGAACCUGUCCUAUAAUCGAUGAUCCACGAUUUAUUUUACUUAUUUUAAUUAGUUUGUAUAUCGUCGUAGUUAGAAUAUUUUAAAAGAAUUUAAUAUUCAAGAUUCUUAAUGAUGAAGGAAAUCAGAUCAAGGUGCAGCUUAUAAAUAAGAAGAGAUGGGUUACAAUAAAUUUAUUUAUAUGGUUAACUAUUUGAAAAAUAGUUAUUAAAGUGGAUUUAAAAGUAAUAAAAUUAAAUUAAAUUUUAUGAUUUUAGCUCUAAAAUAUGCACAUAUCGCCCGUCGCUCUCAUUUAAAGUGAGAUAAGUCGUAACAUAGUAGAUGUACUGGAAAGUGUAUCUAGUCUGAU
rnacentral:ncRNA from 1 species